rnacentral:rRNA from 1 species
UGGGGAAUAUUGCACAAUGGGCGCAAGCCUGAUGCAGCGACGCCGCGUGAGGGAUGACGGCCUUCGGGUUGUAAACCUCUUUCAAUAGGGACGAAGCGCAAGUGACGGUACCUAUAGAAGAAGGACCGGCCAACUACGUGCCAGCAGCCGCGGUAAUACGUAGGUCCGAGCGUUGUCCGGAAUUACUGGGCGUAAGAGCUCGUAGGUGGUUUGUCGCGUUGUUCGNGAAAACUCACAGCUUAACUGUGGGCGUGCGGGCGAUACGGGCAGACUAGAGUACUGCAGGGGAGACUGGAAUUCCUGGUGUAGCGGUGGAAUGCGCAGAUAUCAGGAGGAACACCGGUGGCGAAGGCGGUCUCUGGGCAGUAACUGACGCUGAGGAGCGAAAGCGUGGGGAGCGAACAGGUUAGAU